ensembl:snRNA U4 U4 spliceosomal RNA
AGCUUUGCGCAGUGGCAGUAUCGUAGCCAGUGAGGUUUAUCCGAGGCGCGAUUAUUGCUAAUUGAAAUAUUAAAAAGAUUCAUUAGGGGUAGCUUCCUUCUACCCUAUCCUAGCUCUUCAAAGUUUUGAACAUUCAGGAGCUGAA